UACGUAGGUCCCGAGCGUUGUCCGGAUUUAUUGGGCGUAAAGGGAGCGCAGGCGGUCAGGAAAGUCUGGAGUAAAAGGCUAUGGCUCAACCAUAGUGUGCUCUGGAAACUGUCUGACUUGAGUGCAGAAGGGGAGAGUGGAAUUCCAUGUGUAGCGGUGAAAUGCGUAGAUAUAUGGAGGAACACCAGUGGCGAAAGCGGCUCUCUGGUCUGUCACUGACGCUGAGGCUCGAAAGCGUGGGUAGCGAACA
rnacentral:rRNA from 1 species